rnacentral:rRNA from 1 species
GACGAACGCUGGCGGCGUGCUUAACACAUGCAAGUCGAACGGAAAGGCCCCUUUGGGGGUACUCGAGUGGCGAACGGGUGCGUAACACGUGAGUAACCUGCCCUUGACUUCGGGAUAACUUCAGGAAACUGGGGCUAAUACCGGAUAGGAAUCCUUGCUGCAUGGUGGGGGUUGGAAAGCUUCGGCGGUUUUGGAUGGACUCGCGGCUUAUCAGCUUGUUGGUGGGGUAGUGGCUUACCAAGGCUUUGACGGGUAGCCGGCCUGAGAGGGCGACCGGCCACAUUGGGACUGAGAUACGGCCCAGACUCCUACGGGAGGCAGCAGUGGGGAAUAUUGCACAAUGGGCGGAAGCCUGAUGCAGCAACGCCGCGUGCGGGAUGACGGCCUUCGGGUUGUAAACCGCUUUCAGCAGGGGCGAAGCUUGUGGUGACGGUACCUGCAGAAGAAGCACCGGCUAACUACGU